GCUCAUUACAACAGCUAUUAUUUACUUGAUUUUGAUAUCCUACGUGGAUAACUGUGGUAAUUCUAGAGCUAAUACAUGCACCAAAGCUCCGAUUUAUGAAGAGCGCAUUUAUUAGACUAAAACCAAUCGGGCGUCAGCUCGUGUUUUGGUGACUCUGAAUAGCUACAGCUGAUCGCAUGGUCAUGUACCGGCGACGUGUCUAUCAAGUGUCUGCCUUAUCAACUUUCGAUGGUAGUUUAUGUGCCUACCAUGGUUGUUACGGGUAACGGAGAAUAAGGGUUCGACUCCGGAGAGGGAGCCUGAGAAACGGCUACCACAUCCAAGGAAGGCAGCAGGCGCGCAAAUUACCCACUCUCGGCAUGAGGAGGUAGUGACGAAAAAUAACGAGACCGUUCUCAAUGAGGCCGGUUAUCGGAAUGAAUACAAUUUAAACCCGUUAAUGAGGAUCUAUGAGAGGGCAAGUCUGGUGCCAGCAGCCGCGGUAAUUCCAGCUCUCAAAGUGUAUAUCGUCAUUGCUGCGGUUAAAAAGCUCGUAGUUGGAUCUGCGCUUGAGGACUUGGUCCACCAUUUCGGUGCUGAACUGAGCUCCUCGGCUAAUGUGUCAGCUGGUUUUCCCUACGUUGCCUUCACCGGUCGCGUAGGGUGGCUAGCGAGUUUACUUUGAAAAAAUUAGAGUGCUUAAAGCGGGCAAUAAAGUCUGAAUAUUUGUGCAUGGAAUAAUAGAAUAGGAUCUCGGCUCUAUUUUGUUGGUUUUCUGAUCUGAGAUAAUGGUUAAGAGGGACAGACGGGGGCAUUCGUAUCGCUGCGUGAGAGGUGAAAUUCUUGGACCGUAGCGAGACGCCCGACUGCGAAAGCAUUUGCCAAGAAUGUCUUCAUUAAUCAAGAACGAAAGUCAGAGGUUCGAAGGCGAUCAGAUACCGCCCUAGUUCUGACCGUAAACGAUCCCAACUAGCGUUCCGCCGCUGGCAAGCACGCCUUGGCGGGCAGCUUCCCGGAAACGAAAGUUUUUCGGUUCCGGGGGAAGUAUGGUUGCAAAGCUGAAACUUAAAGAAAUUGACGGAAGGGCACCACCAGGAGUGGAGCCUGCGGCUUAAUUUGACUCAACACGGGAAAACUCACCUGGCCCGGACACCGUGAGGAUUGACAGAUUGAUAGCUCUUUCUUGAUUCGGUGGUUGGUGGUGCAUGGCCGUUCUUAGUUGGUGGAGUGAUUUGUCUGGUUUAUUCCGAUAACGAGCGAGACUCUAGCCUACUAAAUAGUUAUUGGAUAUUUAAGUCCAACAUACUUCUUAGAGGGACAAGCGGUGUUCAGCCGCACGAAGUUGAGCAAUAACAGGUCUGUGAUGCCCUUAGAUGUCCAGGGCUGCACGCGCGCUACACUGGAGGAAUCAGCGUGCUGUAACCAUUUUCGAAAGGGAUUGGUAACCCCUUGAAAAUCCUCCGUGAUCGGGAUCGGGAAUUGCAA
rnacentral:rRNA from 1 species